AUGGUGUAUCGUUCGAAACCCUGCAUUGACAUGGAGCACUCAGAAGCUUUGGGAGGUGAUGACUGCUUGUGUGAUCAUGCACACAUGAUCGUGGAGGAUGAGCGUGGUGAUAGCAUCUACGACCAAGGGUUUGAUUUCGAGGGUGAAAAUGUUGAGCCUGAGCAGCUACCUCCUGCAACUUUUCAACAGUUUGUCCAAUUUCAUCGUGAAAUGCGUGAUUGGCAGACUCAUGUGCAACUUCAGGAUGACUUGGUUGAGCACAUGUGGACUCAUAUUGGCAACAGUAGAUCUAUCGGUUUAAUUUUUUUUCAUGGAAACAAAUUUUGA
rnacentral:rRNA from 1 species